CAUGCCUUACACAUGCAAGUCGAACGGUAGCACGGACUUCGGUCUGGUGGCGAGUGGCGAACGGGUGAGUAACACGUGGGAACCUACCCAGUAGCCUGGAAUAACCGCGGGAAACUGCGGCUAAUACCGGAUACGCCCCUCGGGGGAAAGGAGCAAUCCACUAUUGGAGGAGCCCGCGUCCGAUUAGCUAGUUGGUGAGGUAACGGCUCACCAGGGCGAUGAUCGGUAGCUGGUUUGAGAGAACGACCAGCCACACUGGGACUGAGACACGGCCCAGACUCCUACGGGAGGCAGCAGUGGGGAAUAUUGGACAAUGGGGGAAACCCUGAUCCAGCAAUGCCGCGUGGGUGAUGAAGGCCUUCGGGUUGUAAAGCCCUUUUGGCGGGGACGAUGAUGACGGUACCCGCAGAAGAAGCCCCGGCUAACUUCGUGCCAGCCGCCGCCGUAA
rnacentral:rRNA from 1 species